AUCGUUCAGUAUGCACCGUACAGUUGCCGCGUUGGGAGUAUAUGAUCUUCCGUGCUGCGAAAAUCGGUUAUCUAUGAACACGAGAAUGCAUUGAGAUAAAUAAAAAUAAGAAUAAUAUAAUAAUUUAUCAUUGAAUGUGGUACAUAUUCUAUAUAAUAUUAAAACGAAUUGAUGCGAUUCGAGAUAAAUAAAAGCUAGUGUCGCAUCGAAAGAAAGCUUUUUUACUCGUAUUUUUCAUUCGAUAUCUUCUAUUUAAUUUUACUAUAUUUAGUGAAACGUAUGCAUAUGAUCGUCAUCUUCGUUAAAAGAAUAUUGAAGGAUACGACGUUAGCUUUUUGGUUGGACCCUUGAAGGGUCGCAAAGUGGUGCCGAUUAGGCGGUGACGUUUUAAAGAGCUGUCACGUAUUUUUUAAUUAUCGUUAUUAACUCUUCAGGGAUGACGAUUUUUGGUGACCAACGUAACGUUAGAUCGUAACGAUCGAAUCAGGGGGGGUGGCACAGUGGAAGGAAUAGCUCGCGAAGGAAAACAAAAGAUAAAGAGAAUACGAGAGAGAGGAAAGAGGAAAGAGGAAAGAUAAUUGUUAUGGACACCAACGCGACGAACGAGCUAAUUUGUAUCAUUCAAGGAGGCGGGAAGCUGUUGGUACAAGAAACGAACGACACGCGGCCUGGAAAAAUCGAUCGGCUUGAGUUUUCAACAAGUUGUAAAUUGAGAAACCGCCAUUUGUACGAUUCGUGAGAAGUUAUGCGGUGAAUAAGUGUCGCGAGUGAGUCUCGCGGUCGAGACGGGAUUCAAACGUGUUCUUUUCCUUUCAUUUCCAGUUAUUCUCGUUUUUUUCGUACAAUAACGAGGACACGAUAAGCUUUUGAUCGUGACUUUAGUAAAGAAGAAUUGAUCGAGUUAUCGAGUGAUUCAAGAAAAUAUUCUUGGAAGGUUGAUUCUUAAACAUUUCGUCGAGAGAUUCUCAAGUGAGUGAUCCGUGCUACUGUAGAACUACUGCUCUGCUUACAAGUCGACGAGUGAUUCGUGUGUGUACCAUAACAUCCUUACCAGCUAACUCAAUUGGAUUGGAUUGCUUAAUUGAUCAGGUUUCCGAAGGAAGAGGAGGUAAAGGAAAAAAAAAAAGAAGGGUGUUCGUGAGGAAGGAUGACAAUAAUGAGAAGGAAGAAGGAGUGAAGGACCACGAGGGUGAGAAAAGGGAGUAUAAGCCUAGCAUUAGUGAAGGAGUGUUGGAAGUGUUCGAGUCACAGGAAGUACUUUGAAGAAAGAGAAAGAGAAAGACAGGACAGAAAGACAGAAAAAAAGAAAGAGAGAUAUAGAAGACUGUUGAAGAGUUGCUUGACGAAAAGUAGUGGUGGUUAGUGGUGUUGGUGGUGGUGGUGGUGGUGGUGUUGGGAAAGGGAGAGUUAGUUAGGGGAAGGGAGAAAGAAAUUGGAGGGUGGUGAAGGUAAAGUGAGAAGAAGAGGUAGAGGAGGGGAAAGGGUUAAAAGGAACGCGAAUUCCUUCUUUUUGCUUGUACUUUAGGUGUAGAAAAAAAAAAGAUUAAAAAAAAAAAGAAAAGAAAAGCAAGAAAGUAA